rnacentral:rRNA from 1 species
UAUUGCACAAUGGACGCAAGUCUGAUGCAGUAACGCCGCGCGGGGGAAGAAGACCUUCGGGUUGUAAACCUCUUUUAUAUAGGACGAGUGAGGACGGUACUAUAGGAAUAAGUCUCGGCUAACUACGUGCCAGCAGCCGCGGUAAGACGUAGGAGGCGAGCGUUAUCCGGAUUCACUGGGCGUAAAGCGCAUGUAGGCGGUUUUGUAAGUCCGAUGUUAAAGCCCCUGGCUCAACUGGGGGAGGUCAUUGGAGACUGUGGGACUUGAGGGCAACAGAGGCACGUGGAACUCCCGGUGUAGCGGUGGAAUGCGUAGAGAUCGGGAAGAACACCAGUGGCGAAGGCGACGUGCUGGGUUGCACCUGACGCUGAGAUGCGAAAGUGUGGGGAGCAAACGGG